rnacentral:lncRNA from 1 species
GUCCUUUGUUGUCGAUAGCUAUAAAAUGCAAUCAGCUGAUUAUUGAUUUUCUGUCCAAAUCUUAAUGAGGUCAAGGUGAAUUCCGAGUAUUGCCUGAUCAGACAAAGUCCGAGAAAUUCGAAAAAAGUAAAUAAACAAGAUGGAGGAAAAUAAAUCGUUCUAUAUAUUUCUUUCGCCAAAUUCUUUCGCAAAUGACGAAUUUUUAUCGCCACAAUUAUUAUUUUUUCGCAAAUUGCGAAAAUGGCGACCGCCAGCGGAAACCCUGCCUC